CUAUGGGCUCCAAAGUGCUGUUCGUGCAGGUAGCUUUAUAACAGACCUACUGCAUGAGCAGCACUUCCUGAGCUCAAUG
rnacentral:pre_miRNA from 1 species